CGCCUUAUACUCCUACGGGAGGCAGCAGUGGGGAAUCUUCCGCAAUGGGCGAAAGCCUGACGGAGCAACGCCGCGUGAAUGAUGAAGGUCUUCGGAUCGUAAAACUCUGUUAUUAGGGAAGAACAAAUGUGUAAGUAACUAUGCACGUCUUGACGGUACCUAAUCAGAAAGCCACGGCUAACUACGUGCCAGCAGCCGCGGUAAUACGUAGGUGCCAAGCGUUAUCCGGAAUUAUUGGGCGUAAAGCGCGCGUAGGCGGUUUUUUAAGUCUGAUGUGAAAGCCCACGGCUCAACCGUGGAGGGUCAUUGGAAACUGGAAAACUUGAGUGCAGAAGAGGAAAGUGGAAUUCCAUGUGUAGCGGUGAAAUGCGCAGAGAUAUGGAGGAACACCAGUGGCGAAGGCGACUUUCUGGUCUGUAACUGACGCUGAUGUGCGAAGCGUGGGGAGCAAACAGGAUUAGAUACCCGGGUAGUCCACGUACCA
rnacentral:rRNA from 1 species